rnacentral:rRNA from 1 species
CGAACGCUGGCGGCAGGCUUAACACAUGCAAGUCGAGCGGGCAUAGCAAUAUGUCAGCGGCAGACGGGUGAGUAACGCGUGGGAACAUACCUUUUGGUUCGGAACAACACAGGGAAACUUGUGCUAAUACCGGAUAAGCCCUUACGGGGAAAGAUUUAUCGCCGAAAGAUUGGCCCGCGUCUGAUUAGCUAGUUGGUGAGGUAAUGGCUCACCAAGGCGACGAUCAGUAGCUGGUCUGAGAGGAUGAUCAGCCACAUUGGGACUGAGACACGGCCCAAACUCCUACGGGAGGCAGCAGUGGGGAAUAUUGGACAAUGGGCGCAAGCCUGAUCCAGCCAUGCCGCGUGAGUGAUGAAGGCCCUAGGGUUGUAAAGCUCUUUUGUGCGGGAAGAUAAUGACGGUACCGCAAGAAUAAGCCCCGGCUAACUUCGU